GAUGAACGCUAGCGGCAGGCUUAACACAUGCAAGUCGAGGGGUAGGAGAAGCUUGCUUUUCUGAGACCGGCGCACGGGUGCGUAACGCGUAUGCAAUCUACCUUUCACAGAGGGAUAGCCCAGAGAAAUUUGGAUUAAUACCUCAUAGUAUAGUUGAAUGGCAUCAUUUAAUUAUUAAAGAUUUAUCGGUGAAAGAUGAGCAUGCGUCCCAUUAGCUAGUUGGUAUGGUAACGGCAUACCAAGGCAACGAUGGGUAGGGGUCCUGAGAGGGAGAUCCCCCACACUGGUACUGAGACACGGACCAGACUCCUACGGGAGGCAGCAGUGAGGAAUAUUGGACAAUGGGCGCAAGCCUGAUCCAGCCAUGCCGCGUGCAGGAUGACGGUCCUAUGGAUUGUAAACUGCUUUUAUACAGGAAGAAACCCCUCUACGUGUAGAGACUUGACGGUACUGUAAGAAUAAGGAUCGGCUAACUCCGUGCCAGCAGCCGCGGUAAUACGGAGGAUCCAAGCGUUAUCCGGAAUCAUUGGGUUUAAAGGGUCCGUAGGCGGUCAGGUAAGUCAGUGGUGAAAGCCCAUCGCUCAACGGUGGAACGGCCAUUGAUACUGUCUGACUUGAAUUAUUAGGAAGUAACUAGAAUAUGUAGUGUAGCGGUGAAAUGCUUAGAGAUUACAUGGAAUACCAAUUGCGAAGGCAGGUUACUACUAAUUGAUUGACGCUGAUGGACGAAAGCGUGGGUAGCGAACAGGAUUAGAUACCCUGGUAGUCCACGCCGUAAACGAUGGAUACUAGCUGUUGGGAGCAAUCUCAGUGGCUAAGCGAAAGUGAUAAGUAUCCCACCUGGGGAGUACGAACGCAAGUUUGAAACUCAAAGGAAUUGACGGGGGCCCGCACAAGCGGUGGAGCAUGUGGUUUAAUUCGAUGAUACGCGAGGAACCUUACCAAGGCUUAAAUGUAGAUUGACCGGUUGGAAACAG
rnacentral:rRNA from 1 species